rnacentral:rRNA from 1 species
UACGCGCGGCCCAAACGUUAUUCGGAAUUACUGGGCUUAAAGAGUUCGUAGGCGGCGCAGAAAGUAGGGUGUGAAAGCCCUCGGCUCAACCGAGGAAUUGCGCUCUAAACUACUGUGCUUGAGGAAUCUAGAGGUGAGCGGAACUGAUGGUGGAGCGGUGAAAUGCGUUGAUAUCAUCAGGAACACCGGAGGCGAAGGCGGCUCACUGGGGAUUUUCUGACGCUGAGGAACGAAAGCCAGGGGAGCGAACGGG